GAUGAACGCUGGCGGCGUGCUUAACACAUGCAAGUCGAACGAUGAAGCCCAGCUUGCUGGGUGGAUUAGUGGCGAACGGGUGAGUAACACGUGAGUAACCUGCCCUUAACUCUGGGAUAAGCCUGGGAAACUGGGUCUAAUACCGGAUAGGAGCGUCCACCGCAUGGUGGGUGUUGGAAAGAUUUAUCGGUUUUGGAUGGACUCGCGGCCUAUCAGCUUGUUGGUGAGGUAAUGGCUCACCAAGGCGACGACGGGUAGCCGGCCUGAGAGGGUGACCGGCCACACUGGGACUGAGACACGGCCCAGACUCCUACGGGAGGCAGCAGUGGGGAAUAUUGCACAAUGGGCGCAAGCCUGAUGCAGCGACGCCGCGUGAGGGAUGACGGCCUUCGGGUUGUAAACCUCUUUCAGUAGGGAAGAAGCGAAAGUGACGGUACCUGCAGAAGAAGCACCGUCUAACUACGUG
rnacentral:rRNA from 1 species